rnacentral:rRNA from 1 species
UGGGGAAUUUUGGACAAUGGGCGAAAGCCUGAUCCAGCAAUGCCGCGUGUGUGAAGAAGGCCUUCGGGUUGUAAAGCACUUUUGUCCGGAAAGAAAUCCUUGGCUCUAAUACAGUCGGGGGAUGACGGUACCGGAAGAAUAAGCACCGGCUAACUACGUGCCAGCAGCCGCGGUAAUACGUAGGGUGCAAGCGUUAAUCGGAAUUACUGGGCGUAAAGCGUGCGCAGGCGGUUUGCUAAGACCGAUGUGAAAUCCCCGGGCUCAACCUGGGAACUGCAUUGGUGACUGGCAGGCUAGAGUAUGGCAGAGGGGGGUAGAAUUCCACGUGUAGCAGUGAAAUGCGUAGAGAUGUGGAGGAAUACCGAUGGCGAAGGCAGCCCCCUGGGCCAAUACUGACGCUCAUGCACGAAAGCGUGGGGAGCAAACAGGAUUAGAUACCCUGGUAGUCCACGCCCUAAAACGAUGUCAACUGGUUGUUGGGGAUUCAUUUCCUUAGUAACGUAGCUAACGCGUGAAGUUGACCGCCUGGGGAGUACGGUCGCAAGAUUAAAACUU